rnacentral:rRNA from 1 species
AACGAACGCUGGCGGCAUGCCUAACACAUGCAAGUCGAACGAGACCUUCUGGUCUAGUGGCGCACGGGUGCGUAACGCGUGGGAACCUGCCCUUAGGUUCGGAAUAACUCCCCGAAAUGGGUCCUAAUACCGGAUAAUGUCUUCGGACCAAAGAUUUAUCGCCUUUGGAUGGGCCCGCGUGGGAUUAGCUAGUUGGUAGGGUAAAAGCCUACCAAGGCGACGAUCCAUAGCUGGUCUGAGAGGAUGAUCAGCCACACUGGGACUGAGACACGGCCCAGACUCCUACGGGAGGCAGCAGUGGGGAAUAUUGGACAAUGGGCGAAAGCCUGAUGCAGCAAUGCCGCGUGAGUGAUGAAGGCCUUAGGGUUGUAAAGCUCUAUUAGCCGGGAUGAUAAUGACAGUACCGGGAGAAUAAGCUCCGGCUAACUCCGUG